rnacentral:rRNA from 1 species
UACGAGGGGGGCAAGCGUUGUUCGGAAUUACUGGGCGUAAAGGGCUCGUAGGCGGCCAACUAAGUCAGACGUGAAAUCCCCAGGCUCAACCUGGGAACUGCGUCUGAUACUGGAUGGCUUGAAUCCGGGAGAGGGAUGCAGAAUUCCAGGUGUAGCGGUGAAAUGCGUAGAUAUCUGGAGGAAUACCGGUGGCGAAGGCGGCAUCCUGGACCGGCAUUGACGCUGAGGAGCGAAAGCCAGGGGAGCAAACGGG